rnacentral:rRNA from 1 species
UACGAGGGGGGGCGAGCGUUUGUUCGGAAUUAUUGGGCGUAAAGAGCGUGUAGGCGGCCUGAAAGGUCAGCUGUGAAAACUCGAGGCUCAACCUCGAGACGUCGGUUGAAACCAUCUGGCUAGAGUCCGGAAGAGGAGAGUGGAAUUCCCGGUGUAGCGGUGAAAUGCGCAGAUAUCGGGAAGAACACCCGUGGCGAAGGCGGCUCUCUGGGACGGUACUGACGCUGAGACGCGAAAGCGUGGGGGAGCGAACAGG